rnacentral:rRNA from 1 species
UUCCGGUUGAUCCUGCCGGAGGCCAUUGCUGUCGGUGUCCGAUUUAGCCAUGCGAGUCGCACGUUCAACGUGGCGAACGGCUCAGUAACACGUGGUCAAACUACCCUACGGACCGUGAUAACCUCGGGAAACUGAGGCUAAUAACGGAUGUCGCUCCCGAGCUGGGAUGCUGGGAGCGAUAAAGCUCCGGCGCCGUAGGAUGUGACUGCGGCCGAUUAGGUAGACGGUGGGGUAAUGGCCCACCGUGCCGAUAAUCGGUACGGGUUGUGAGAGCAAGAACCCGGAGACGGACUCUGAGACAAGAGUCCGGGCCCUACGGGGCGCAGCAGGCGCGAAACCUUUACACUGCACGCAAGUGCGAUAGGGGGACACCGAGUGCGAGGGCAUAGAGCCCUCGCUUUUGUGCAUCGUAAGGUGGUACACGAAUAAGGGCUGGGCAAGACCGGUGCCAGCCGCCGCGGUAACACCGGCAGCCCGAGUGAUGGCCGCUUUUAUUGGGCCUAAAGCGUCCGUAGCCGGCCGUUCAGGUCCGUCGGGAAAUCCACUGGCUCAACCAGUGGGCGUCCGGCGGAAACCGAUCGGCUUGGGACAGGGAGACCAGAGGGGUACGUCCGGGGUAGGAGUGAAAUCCUGUAAUCCUGGACGGACCACCGGUGGCGAAAGCGCCUCUGGAGAACUGAUCCGACGGUGAGGGACGAAAGCUGGGGUCUCGAACCGGAUUAGAUACCCGGGUAGUCCCAGCUGUAAACAAUGCUCGCUAGGUGUGUCGCAGGCUAC